AUACCUUUCUCGGCCUUUUGGCUAAGAUCAAGUGUAGUAUCUGUUCUUAUCAGUUUAAUAUCUGAUAUGUGGGACACGUGCCCACAAUGAUAUUAAAUUUAUUUUUUAUGGGGGAGGAACCAUUAUGAUAGCUUGCUAUGCACACCCCAACCAAAUCAAAAUUUAAAUUUUUUCAAGAUUCUAGAUGUAUUUCAU